GCAUCGAUGAAGAACGUAGCGAAAUGCGAUAAGUAAUGUGAAUUGCAGAAUUCAGUGAAUCAUCGAAUUUUUGAACGCAGCUUGCGCUC
rnacentral:rRNA from 2 species